GGGCGAAUAGCUCAGUUGGGAGAGCACCUGCCUUACAAGCAGGGGGUCACAGGUUCGAGCCCUGUUUCGCCCACCA
rnacentral:tRNA from 12 species